rnacentral:lncRNA from 1 species
AGGCAGUUGGUUCCCCGCGCGCAAAAGGAAGUUGCCUCGGCCGCCGCCGCCCCGCCUCCCCCCGCGCUCCGGCCGCCGCCCCGCGCUCCCUCCGCGCCCCGGUCGUCNNNNNNNNNNNNNNNNNNNNNNNNNNNNNNNNNNNNNNNNNNNNNNNNNNNNNNNNNNNNNNNNNNNNNNNNNNNNNNNNNNNNNNNNNNNNNNNNNNNNNNNNNNNNNNNNNNNNNNNNNNNNNNNNNNNNNNNNNNNNNNNNNNNNNNNNNNNNNNNNNNNNNNNNNNNNNNNNNNNNNNNNNNNNNNNNNNNNNNNNNNNNNNNNNNNNNNNNNNNNNNNNNNNNNNNNNNNNNNNNNNNNNNNNNNNNNUCCCGCCCCGGCCACCGCGCCAGCCGCCCCGCCCGCCGCCGCGGCAGCCGCCCCGCCCGCCUCGGCCGCCGUCGCCAUGGCCUCCAUCUCCGCCGCCGCCAAGGCCACCUCCGCCGCCUUCGCCCACAAGGUCCCCUCCCCUUCCCUCUCCCUGCCGCAGAAGGAGCCCGCUGCGGCAGCGCCACAGCAGCAGCAGCGCGCGCGGUCCUGGCUGUAUUCAGAUUUUUGCGGGUUGGCUUUGAGGGUUCUAGUCUUUGCUCCUGUUUUUCAACCCUUAAAAGUGUCAAAAAUGGGCAAUUCUCAACCCUUAAAACUGAUUUUAGAUUUAAGGGUUUGAGGGUUCUACUAGAGAUGCUCUAAGGCCGUGAAGGCCCUCCAAGCAAGCCUACGUUGUUGCAUGUGAAUGCCCGAAAGAAGUGAGAUCAUGUAUGGGAAAAGAACAAGGGUCACAAUAGGACCCAAUACUUUCCUGGGCACAGCUCCAAAGGAAAUUGGCCUGCGGGCAAAGAAAAACAAUGUGCUUGGCGUCUUCAAGAUCUCAACAAAGGCAACGUUGUUCUUGAAAAAGGCAAUGUUGAUGAUGCUUUCUUGCAAGACAUAUUUGAUAGAAUUUUCAUGCUCAGAAGCUAUCACGAACAUGUCUAGGUACUUGACAUAGAGUGAUUUGACUAGCUAGUGUUUCUAUAUCUCCGUUGGCUACGGAGAACCUCAGGCCAAUGUUGAAUUACCACCCCCCCCCCCCCCCCCCCCCCCCCCCCCCCACCCUCUAACCAACCCUCCCCUGCGNNNNNNNCCCCCCCCCCGGCCCCACCACCACUAAGAUUUAGAUACAAUCUUCCUAGGGUAUAUGGUAUUUUUGCUCCAUGGCGUUAGCUUCGCAUGAGAAUCUAGAUCUGACUUUGCCGAGUUGUUCGUGGGUCAAGUCGCCUAACACGAACAAUACCAUAGUGUAGGAAGGAAUAGCUAAUAUGCAGGCAUUAACAAGGUUUUUUUUGCCCCUGGGGAAAGCAAUUUAUGUCGCCAUGGAUCCAUUCUCUUCUCAUUGUUGUGAAUAGUGUUAUCCUAGUUAGAAUUGAAAGAGCUCUAUAUGAGGUAGGAAGAUAGGGGUGUGUAGUGAUAAAAUCAGGAUUUUUGUAACAAAGUAAGUUAGCUAUACGCUCUCCCCCAUCUUGGUCCUUAACCAUGUCCACUGCCUCACUUUUUGCAAAAAAUAGAAUUUCAUCCCUGGCAUUGCCUUGAAGGAUAGUAGAAUAUUUUUUAUCAUGCAUAUGUUCUAGUUAUACAGUUUAGAAAGAAGCAUCACGACGAGUGCAUACCAAAAUGCGAGAUUCUCCUAGGAAUCAAAUGAGAAACCACCCCUUUGAGGUGCCCGGCCGCUUUCGCCUUCUCAAUCAUGGAAUAGAGGGCAUCGACAGCAAUAUCAAUUAGACGGAUUGGAGCGAGGGAUAUGGGAUCGCGUUGCCUUAGACCACACUUGUUUGUGGAGAAAGGGCCCACCCUUCCUCAUUGAUGCAGAUAGCGGUUGAACUAGCAGUUAACUCUAUCGUAAAACCUUCGACAGAACACACGGGGAUGGACCGGACGCAUAGCCUCCGAAGCCUACCUCAAAGAUACGCGGCUCAGCAGGGUCCGUCCCUUAUGAAUUGCCACACCAGACAUAAAAUAUAAAACCAUAGCACCCAAGGCUUCUUAGCCGCCACCACCAAAUCCGGCACGCCCGCCGGCUUCACCGGCGAACCAAACGCCUUCAUCGGAGUCGGGGAAGGGCGGCCCCACCCCGACGACAGCAGGAACACGAGCAACAAGCAGAGGAGUAGAGCGGCCGAUCGCACCCACAUUGUCAACUAUUCCACCGUGUCAGUCUCAGAACCCGAUCGGUCGCGCCCUCGUGCCAAAACCCCACAGAAUCAACUGUCGUUGUAGCACAAGGUAGGUCGCGUUAUGCACUACGCACAGGAGACGACCAGACCACUUCACCACACCUGCGCGCGACCUUGUUCCCCUGUGUGCAUGCUGAAACUAGUCAAUAUGAAUUCACAAGCUCGAUCGCGUCAUGGAUCCCGCGCCUUGCCGGCCAAGAACAACAAGGAUCACCUACUGCAUGCCCACACACCAAGUGUCAAGGCUAUCUUCGCUGAUCGCGCUCCCCAAGGAGGCACCUUCAACUUGAUCCAUGGACCUGUCACGUUCUGCCGUCCUCCUCCUCCUCCUCCUCCUCGCCGUCUGCUUCCCGUGCUCGUCCGCCGAGGAUCAGCUGGCCGUCGGUGAGAAGCUGCUCGCCGAGCAGACCCUGGUGUCCGACGGCGGCGCCUUCACCCUCGGCUUCUUCUCUCCGGACGACGACGACCCAGCCAGACGCUAUCUUGGGAUAUGGUACAGCAACCCCGGGCACCGCACCGUGGUCUGGGUCGCCAACCGGGACGCCCCGGCCGCCGGCGCCCCCACGCUCGCGCUGGCCAACGACUCCAGCCUCGUCAUGUCCGACGCCGACGGCCGCGUGCUCUGGAACACGACCGGCGUCGGCAGCUCGUCCUCGCAGACGGCGCCAGCCGAGCUCGGGAACGACGGCAACCUGCUCAUCCAGCUCCCGGACGGCACGGUUGGGUGGCAGAGCUUCGACCACCCGACGGACACGUUCCUGCCGGGGAUGAAGGUGCGGGUCAGCCACCGGACCGGGAAGGGCGACCGGAUCGUGUCCUGGAGAUCCCCCGAUGACCCGGCGCCGGGGCGCUUCUCCUACGGCCUGGACCCCGGCACGUCGCUGCAGCUGCUCAUGUGGAACGGCACGCGCCCCUACUGGCGCAGCCCCGUCUGGAAGGGGUACGCCGUCGCCACCAUGUACGUCAGCGCCGGCACGGUGAUCUACACGGCGAUAGUCGACACGGACGAGGAGAUCUCCUUGGCCUUCUCCGUCUCCGGCGGCGCCGCGCCCACGCGGUACGUGGUGACCAGCUCCGGCAAGUUCCAGCUGCUCAUCUGGAACGGCACCAGGUCGGCCUGGGCCACGCUCCAGUCGUGGCCCUCCAGCGAAUGCACCACGUACAGGCACUGCGGCGCGUACGCCUACUGCGACACCACGGCGGCGCCGGCGACGUGCAGGUGCCUCGACGGCUUCGAGCCUGCUAAACCGGCAGAGUGGACCUCCGGCAGGUUCGGGCAGGGUUGCCGACGGAAGGAGGCGCUGCCGCCGUGCGGCGGCGGAGGCGGCGGCAAUGGGGUGGGUUUCAUAGCCAUGCCCAGCAUGAAGGUGCCGGACAAGUUCUCGCUGGACGCUGGCAACCGGAGCGCGGAGGAGUGCGCGGCGAGGUGCGCCGGCAACUGCUCGUGCGUGGCGUACGCGUACGCCAACCUGCAGAGCAGCAGCGCCAAGGGGGACGUGAGCCGGUGCAUCGUGUGGGCAGGGGAGCUCGUGGACGCGCAGAUGAUCGACCCGCGCUGGGGCGGCGAGACCCUCUCCCUCCGCGUGCCCGCCGCUGCCGCUUCCACUUCCCCAGGUACGGCAGAAAUAUAUUCCUUUUGCCAAACUUUGUCUGAAUUCUCUUGAAGAAUUCAAAAAAAAACAUGCUCUCUGCCGAAUUCGAAUUCAGUUUCAUCAAACGUUUACCAUAUAUUUGCAUGUUCAGGUGGAAAGGCCAGCAGAAAUGCAGUGAAAAUAGCAGUGCCGGUGGUAGCAUCUGCCCUGCUGCUCACAUGCAUUUUCUUUGUAUGGUUCUGCAGAUACAGAGGUACCGUUGCAUUUUAUGCUUACCUCUAGCCAAAACAUGCCAUGCCCAACCAUUUCGUUUCGUUCUUAGACAAGACGCUCAUCACUCAUCACAACAAUUGAAAAUUGAUACAGACAAGAGAAGGAAAACCGAGAGCCAGAAGAAGCUAAUGCCCGGGAUCAGGACCGGGACCACAAACACGUCGAGCGAGAUCGGAGAAGGAGAUCGCACCGGAGACCUUGAGUUCCCCUCCAUAGGAUUCGGCGACAUCGUCGCCGCCACGGACAACUUCUCCAAGACACUCAUGAUCGGCCGCGGAGGCUUCGGCAAGGUCUACAAGGUACUAGCUCCAUUCACUUUGUCUAGCUAGAAAAGUUCGGUCGUUGCGACCAACAAUUUAAACCCCUAGAACAGAGUCAUGAUCUCACACAUUCCACUUGUUUGUGUUUGUCAUUCCGAAGGGAACAUUAGACGGUGGUCAUGUGGUAGCAGUGAAGAGGCUGAGCAAGGAUUCGGAUCAGGGAGCAGAGGAGUUCAAGAACGAGGCGAUCCUGAUCGCCAAGCUGCAGCACCGGAACCUGGUGCGCCUCCUCGGCUGCUGCACCGAGGGGGGCGAUAAGCUGCUCAUCUACGAGUACCUGCCCAACAAGGGCCUCGACGCCAUCCUCUUCGGUACAUACUAUGUUCAGCGAACUCAAAUAUACAACUGAAGGUUUCUUGCCAUGGUUUCUGAAGUUCAGAUGUUGCAGACAGUGGGAGGAAGUCGGUGUUGGACUGGCCGACGCGGCUGGGGAUCAUCAAGGGGGUGGCCAGGGGGCUGCUCUACCUCCACCAGGACUCCAGGCUGACUGUGAUACACAGGGACCUCAAGGCCAGCAACGUGCUGCUGGACGCCGAGAUGCGGCCCAAGAUCGCCGACUUUGGCAUGGCCAAGAUCUUUGGUGACAACCAGGUGAAAGCCAACACCCGGAAAGUCGUCGGAACAUAGUGAGUAGCCUGACCACCUGACUGAAUUUUCUGAAAGAAACGAAAAAAUAUAUUUUUGUUCUGAGUUGGUAGUUAGCAUUUGAUCGAAAAAUACCCUAGCAAAAUGUGAUACCUCUUCUGACGAAAAAGUAUAAUGUGUGAACAGUGGCUACAUUGCUCCCGAGUACUCGACGGAGGGCGUCUUCUCAGACAAGUCCGACGUGUACAGCUUCGGCGUGCUGCUCCUGGAGAUCGUGAGCGGUAUCAGGGUAAGCGCGACCGAGGGCAUCAUGGAGUUUCCAAGCCUGAUAUCCUAUGUAAGGACCUCAACAAAAACUAACAGCUCCAUCUUGCAGUUAACUUCCAUUUUCAGAUACACUCAAUGUCAACAAAAGAACAUGCACAAAUGGUUGAUUUUUUGUGUGUGUUUCGUGUAGGCAUGGCACCUGUGGAGAGAAGGGAAGGCAGGCAAGCUGGUGGAUCCAUCCAUGGCAGGGAGCUGUUCACAGGAUGAGGCUUCGCUGUGCAUCCACGUCGGGCUCCUGUGCGUCGAGGACGACCCGAGCAGGAGGCCGCUCAUGUCCUCCGUUGUGUCCAUCUUGGAGAACGGGAGUGCGUCGGCGUUGUCCCUGCCGACGCCGGUGCAGCCUGCUUUUGUCGAAAUGAUGGGAGAGAAGAGCCAGAGAAGCGACCUCGAGAACACCAGGAACACAAUGGCCAUGACCGUUCUGCAAGGUCGGUAGUACGGUAGUUACUGCAACUUUCUUCAGAAGGAAGCUGCACUAGUCCUAGUGUUCCAUAUGAUUUACUGAGGAAAAACCCAAAUUUGUAGAGCAUUCGUUACAGAUCUAAACGAAAGACGCAUUUCAGGAGUGUUGAGUUGAUCAGCCUUGAAAUGGAUGGUAUGAUUGUCUUGCUGAGAUUGAAACGUUUAACAUGUUGGACUGAAAAUUAUUGAGACAAGUUAUAUAUACAUUAGACAUUCAGAGCAACUCUAACACGCCGACACAUUUCGUCUGCCUGCGUUCGUUUGGUUCGCGGCGGACAGAAGUGAGGCCUAACGCGUUGACCCAAACCCCAAACACAUCUGUUUCGCAUCCGUGCAGAUCCAUUUCAGGUCCAAAAUUGCGCGUGAAAUGCGUCGGCGCACACACGAAGCGGACGCGCCGCACGACCAGCGGCGUCGGCCGCAGUCCCACUUCGCGGCCCCCAACUACCACCCGCCGUCAAAUUUAGGACGACCACCGCCACCAGGUCCACUAGUCCGCCAGUGAAAGCGUCCUUUUUUACGUCCGACUUCCGUCCACAUCAGCCCCCCACCACCCACUUCGUGCUUCCCCGUUGGCGACAACCCAAGCCCUAGCUAUGGGGUUCUUUGGUAGCAGCUCCGGCAGCGACAAGGGCAUGGGCACCCCCGGCGCCUCAUCCACCCGUGCUCCUCCUCCUCCGCCUUCGGCACCUACCCGCUCAUACACAGGUCGCCAGCGUCUGCACAUCCCCGUGCAUCAAGCGCGGUGGCACUGGGUGUUCAGACAGCCGCUGCCAUACCCGAACGUCACGCUGCCGCACCACCGGCACCUUGAUCCGUAGCGGAUCCCGGUGCCAGCGGUGCCGCAGACACAACGGGCGCACGACAAGGAGGUGCGCAGGGGCCGGGUGUUGGGGAACGUCGCAUGGGAAACAAAAAUUUUCCUACGCGCACGAAGACCUAUCAUGGUGAUGUCCAUCUACGAGAGGGGAUGAGUGAUCUACGUACCCUUGUACAUCGUACAGCAGAAGCGUUAGAGAACGCGGUUGAUGUAGUGGAACGUCCUCACGUCCCUCGAUCCGCCCCGCGAACAAUCCCGCGAUCAGUCCCACGAUCUAGUACCGAACGGACGGCACCUCCGCGUUCAGCACACGUACAGCUCGACGAUGAUCUCGGCCUUCUUGAUCCAGCAAGAGAGACGGAGAGGUACAAGAGUUCUCCGGCAGCGUGACGGCGCUCCGGAGGUUGGUGAUGAUCUUGUCUCAGCAGGGCUCCGCCCGAGCUCCGCAGAAACGCGAUCUAGAGGAAAAACUAUGGAGGUAUGUGGUCGGGCAGCCGUGAGAAAGUCGUCUCAAAUCAGCCCUAAUUGCUCCAUAUAUAUAGGAGGAGGGAGGGGGACCUUGCCUUGGGGUCCAAGGGACCCUCAAGGGGUCGGCCGAGCCAAGGGGGGGAGGACUCCCCCCCCAAACCGAGUUGGACUUGGUUUGGUGGAAGGAGUCCCCCUCCCUUCCCACUUCCUCCCUCUUUUUUUUCUUUUCCUUUGAUUUCCUUUUCUUGGCGCAUAGGCCCCCUUGGGGCUGUCCCACCAGCCCACUAAGGGCUGGUGUGUCUCCCCAAAGCCUAUGGGCUUCCCCGGGGUGGGUUGCCCCCCCCCCCCCCCCGGCGCCCCCCGGCCUUCGUUUCCGGACCAUUUCGGAAACCCUCGUGACGUCCGUGAUCUCAUCCGGGACUCCGAACAACAUCCGGUAACCAACCAUAUAACUCAAAUACGCAUAAAACAACGUCGAACCUUAAGUGUGCAGACCCUGCGGGUUCGAGAACUAUGUAGACAUGACCCGAGAGACUCCUCGGUCAAUAUCCAAUAGCGGGACCUGGAUGCCCAUAUUGGAUCCUACAUAUUCUACGAAGGUCUUAUCGUUUGAACCUCAGUGCCAAGGAUUCAUAUAAUCCCGUAUGUCAUUUCCUUUGUCCUUCGGUAUGUUACUUGCCCGAGAUUCGAUCGUCAGUAUCCGCAUACCUAUUUCAAUCUCGUUUUACCGGCAAGUCUCUUUACUCGUUCCGUAAUACAAGAUCCCGCAACUUACACUAAGUUACAUUGCUUGCAAGGCUUGUGUGUGAUGUUGUAUUACCGAGUGGGCCCCGAGAUACCUCUCCGUCACACGGAGUGACAAAUCCCAGUCUUGAUCCAUACCAACUCAACUAACACCUUCGGAGAUACCUGUAGAGCAUCUUUAUAGUCACCCAGUUACGUUGCGACGUUUGAUACACACAAAGCAUUCCUCCGGUGUCAGUGAGUUAUAUGAUCUCAUGGUCAUAGGAAUAAAUACUUGACACGCAGAAAACAGUAGCAACAAAAUGACACGGUCAACAUGCUACGUCUAUUAGUUUGGGUCUAGUCCAUCACGUGAUUCUCCCAAUGACGUGAUCCAGUUAUCAAGCAACAACACCUUGUUCAUAAUCAGAAGACACUGACUAUCAUCGAUCAACUGGCUAGCCAACUAGAGGCAUGCUAGGGACGGUGUUUUGUCUAUGUAUCCACACAUGUAAAUGAGUCUUCAUUCAAUACAAUUAUAGCAUGGAUAAUAAACUAUUAUCUUGAUACAGGAAUUAUAAUAAUAACUAUACAUUUAUUAUUGCCUCUAGGGCAUAAUUCCAACACCGGGUGCAACUCACCCUGGCGUAGCGGCACAUGCCCGGGUACGCCGCAAACUCUCUCCCAAUCUGGUGGCCUGGUUCGUCAUCGAACACAAGGAGCCACGGCGCCUAGGCGUGCAGCGUCACCACGGCAACCCCCCGCCUCCCCCUAUCGCCAAGCAAGACGAGGAGGAAGACGAGGUGGCGUACCAGUCGCGUUGGAGGAGGCCUUCGCCAACUCCAUCGAGGAUAAGCGAUGAAAGGCCGAAGUGGCGGCGGAGGAGGUCGCGUACGAGGCGGAGAUGGCGGAGGCCAUGGCCCUCUCUGCAGCAGGCGACGGUGUGGUGCCUCCGUCGCCGUCGCGGCCCCCGACAAGGAAUCGAGAGAGGAAGAGAAUGUGUGCGCCCGCGUCGCCGCAUUGCCUUCACUGCAGCAGAUGCCGGAGGAGGCAACCCUCAUGGCCUAUCCAUCCGCAUUCGGUUGGGUUGGACACCUUCCGUCUUCAUCAACGUCACCGCGAUGACGAUGAUGACGUCUAGGGCUGUGUGCAGGCCGCCAACGUCUAAGGCCGCAUGCCGCCGCACCAACGUCUAGGGCUGCGUGCGGGCAUCAACUUCAAUUUUUUGUUUUUAUGAAUGUUUAAAUUUAGUUUAAAGUGGAAUUUGGCAGACGGUUGACAAGCGAGUCUUGAAUUCGUAUUUACUUUAAAGUAGACUUUGGACGUGCGCACAAAUUUAGGUCCACCUCCCGUUGAACGCUCAAGCCGACCUAUAUAAAAAAGCGGACGCAGACGUCCGCCUAACCGAUCCAAGCGGACAAAAGAAGGACAAAAGCGUCUUGGUAAUAUAUUUGAUUUAUUUGGUAAUAUAUUUGAUAGACAGCGUCUCUCUUCUUCUUUUUUACAUCUUAGAGAAACACUAGCUCAUCCUUGGUAAUAUAUUUGAUUUAUUUAUUCUAUGAGUAGAAUUAUUGUGGUUUAUGGUUAGUUAGUGUUUAGUGAAUAGUCAUUCUUUGAAAUACAGGACGAGACCGUUCAUUUACGCUGAGGUUUCUGCUGAGGCGACGGCGAAGCGUGAACGCGAAUUUAUUGAGAGAAAAAUGAACCACUGGGUGACAGCUGUUGAUGCGUUGAAUGCGACGUGUAAAACCUUUUCAAACUAGUAUUUUUGUAAGAACGCUGUGAAAAAUUUAAUCAAUAAAAAGGAGAGUGAGAUCACCAAGCUCAAAAAAACGAAAAAAGAUUGUAGGCGCGAUCUUGCAAUGCAAGUUGCAUUCUGUGCAACAAGGGAAGAACAUGAGCACUUUAACAUGAACAACCAUGGUCAGGUCAUUGAUUGGUUAGUGAGGCACCUUUUUUUGUUGGAACCGAAGCAGGCAUCUCGUUGGGCAUGGGUCAAAGUAAGAAAUGAUGUUCUUUGCUGCAAUCCGGGACCUUACGCCAAAUAAAAUGUCUGUUCAUUACCAUGAGCCUAUGUAAUCUUUGUCAUUUGAGACUAUAAUGCCAUGUACCCAUUUGCAUAACUUGUUCUCGUUUGAACUAUGAAAUCUUUAUCAUUUGAACUCCGUGAAGAUAUUGGUGUUGUAUGUCAUAUUGAACUAUGUAAUCUUUGUGAUGUUCUAUUGUUUGAACUCCAUAUUGAACUAUGUAAUCUGUGUGAUGUUUUAUUGUUUGUUCACAAAUUAAAUAUAACAUAUCAAGUGCAUUUUACUUCACUUCACGACAAGUUCACAAAUUAAAUAUAACAUAUCAAAUGCGCUUCAUUUCAUUUCACGAAAAGUUCACAAAUUAAAUAUAACAUAUCAAGUGCACUUUACUUCAGUUCACGACAAGUUCACAAAUUCUUCAGAGACAGCUAAUCCCAAAAAAUUAUGUGACGGCUAAUAAGGCUGGUUGUAAUAUAGAGUUAUCGUGCAUACGAUGUUAGUGUAUGAUAAUACAUUCUGAAUGCAUAGUACUCCCGCUGUCAUAGUUUAGAAGGCAUGUACGUGUAUCUAGAUCGUCAAUUUAACUUAUAUAAAAUAUAUGUUUAACAUAAAAAUUAUAUAAUUCGAAAAUAAAACAUCUAAAGUUUCUAAUGAUAUAUUUUUGUUAUAUAUGUCUCUCAUUAACUUGGUCAAAUUAAUGACCUAGAUACAUGUGUCGGACAUGUAAACUCAGACGGAGGAAGUAUCAUAAGAUAGUUUAUUUAUUGUCAUGCAUGACACAUAGUAGAACAUCGUUUAAUACGAUAUUAUGUUUUACUAUGUCUGAUAUUUAAUCUUCUCUUUAUUUAUUUAAUUAUAUGAAAUCUCAUUAGAAUUAUCUAGUUGACAUGUAUAAUACUCCCUCCGUUUCUAAAUAUAAGUAUUUUAAGCGAUUUCACUAGGGGUCUACAUACGGAACAAAAUGAUUGAAUGUAUGCUUUAAAGUAUGUCUAUAUACAUCCGUAUGUAGUCUAAUAGCGAAACCUUUAAAAAGACUUAUAUUUAGAAAGGGAGUAGGUACUUAUGAUAUUUUCGUUAUAACCAGCCUAACAUUGCCGCUCUCAAAAGUUUUCAUGCAUACUAUCCAUGUCACUUCAAUGUCUAUACGAAUUCAUUUACCUGUUUUGUCGGCCCGUAGCGUUUGUUGGGCAAGGUAGGUCGAGUUAAGAACUUGCGCGUAGGUAAAACGCGCACACACAGGAGACAACCAGACUCACCAGUUCACCUGUUCCCAUGCGCACUGCACUUCCCUGCAGGGUCCACGCUGAAACUAGUCAAUAUGAACUCGCCAAGUCGCGUCGCCGUGUGGCUAGGCUAGCUACAAUGGCGACAUCGCCUUCCGGACAAGAAGGAUCACGUAUGUACCGCCCACAGAAACGUCAAGGCGCUUUCCAAAAAACAAAGAACGUCGCCCGAGGGUAAUAAUGUGCAUCGGCGCACCGUGAACUUGAUCGAUGGACCUGUCACGUUCUGCCGUCCUCGUCCUCGCCGUCGCCGUCGCCGUCUUCCUCCUGUGCGCGUCCGCCGAGGACCAGCUGGCCGUGGGGGAUAAGCUCCUGGCUGGGCAGUCCCUCGUGUCCGCAGGCGGCGCCUUCGCUUUCGGCUUCUUCUCCCCUGACGACGCCGCCGGCACGGCCACACGGUGGUACCUCGGCAUAUGGUACAACGGCAUCCCCGGGCCUCGCACCGUCAUCUGGGUGGCCAACCGGGACGCCCCGGCCGCCGGCGCCCCGACGCUCACGCUGGCCAACGACUCCCGCCUCGUCAUGUCCGACGCCGACGGUCGCGUGCUCUGGAACACGACCGUCGCGAGCAGUUCGUCGUCGCAGACGCCCACGGCGGCCGUGCUGACGAACGGGGGCAACCUGGUCGUCCAGGGAGCGAACGACGCCGCGUUGUGGCAGAGCUUCGACCACCCAACGGACACGUUCGUCCCGGGCAUGAAGAUGCGGCUGAGCCACCGGACGGGCAAGGGCGACCGCAUCGUGGCUUGGAAAUCCCCCGGCGACCCGGCGCCGGGGCGCUUUUCCUACGGCCUGGACCCCAGCACCUCGCUGCAGCUGAUCAUGUGGAACGGGACGCGCCCCUACUGGCGCACUCCCAUCUGGCAGGGGUACGCCGUCGCCGCCAUGUACGUCAGCGCCGGCACGGUCAUCUACACCGCGAUCCUCGACACGGACUUGGAGAUCUCCAUGGCCAUCACCGUCUCCGACGGCGCGGCGCCGACGCGGUAUGUGGUGACAAGCUCCGGCAGGUUCCAGCUGCUCAGCUGGAACGGAACCCUGUCGGCGUGGGCCACGCUCCAGUCGUGGCCAUCGAGCGGGUGCGGCGCAUAUAGUCGCUGCGGCGCAUACGGGUACUGCGACGUCACAUCGGCGCCCGCGGCGUGCAGGUGCCUGGACGGCUUCGAGCCGGCGAGCGCGGCGGACUGGAGCGCCGGCAGGUUGGAGCAGGGGUGCCGGCGAAAGCAGGCGCUGCCGCCAUGCGGCGGCGUCGGGGUAGGUUUCGUGGCGAUGCGGAGCAUGAAGGUGCCGGACAAGUUCUCGAUCGACUCCAGCAACCGGACCGCGGGGGAGUGCGCGGCCAGGUGCGCCGCAACCUGCUCGUGCGUGGCGUACGCGUACGCCAACGUGCAGAUCAACAGCGCCAAGGACGAACUGAUCCGGUGCGUGGUGUGGUCAGAGGAGCUCGUCGACGCGCAGAUGAUCGACGCGCGCUGGGGCGGCGAAACGCUCUACCUCCGCGUGGCCGAAAUUGAUGAUGCCUCCACAGGUAGAGGUAGUAGAGCAGAAACACACUUGUUUCUUUUGCCCAACUUCAUCUGUUGAAUCUUUAGUCUCUACCGAAAUCAACCCAAACAAAUUUGCCAGUGCCGGUGUUAGCCCUGCCCAACACAGGUAGAAAGUCCAGCAGAAAUGCGGUGAAGAUAGCCCUGCCGGUGUUAGCAUCCCUCCUGCUGCUCACAUGCACUUUCUUUGUAUCGUUCUGGAGAUUCAGAGGUACAGUUGUAUUUUUCUUCCUUUUUUUUUCUUUAUUAACUCUGAACAUGGCGUGCUCGACCAUUCUUUCAUACACACACACACACACAAAAAAAAAGCUCACAAGCACCAAUGUCGCAGUCAAGGGAAGAAAAACCGAGAGCCAAAAUAAGAACAAGUCGGGCAAAAUCGGAGGAGAUCACACAGAAGACCUUGAGUUCCCGUCCAUACGGUUCGCCGACAUUGUCAUCGCCACGGACAACUUCUCCAAAACACUCAUGAUCGGACGCGGAGGGUUCGGGAAGGUCUACAAGGUACUACUUCUACUCAGAUUUGCUAAAUUUCAGUCACCUGAAAUUUUCUGUUCUGUUAGCUUAGCAGUUUUUUUUUAAAUCAGGGGCCUCGCCCGGCUCCAUUUUCAUUAUCAAAGAGAGGCAAAUUUUUCCAUUAGUGGUUGUUAGACUGUGUAUUUGUAUAGCUUUCGUAUAUACCCCUGUAUGUAUACCCCUUAUAGAUAUAAGAUAGCUACACCCGUAUUGGAUGUCGAGCAGUUUUCAUCAAACAUUGUUUUACAUGGUAUCAGAUUAGGUUAGAUCGUUUUUCCACUUUCACAGUUCCACUGUCGCCGCCGCCUCACGGCUUCUCCACCGGGCGCCGCCACGAUCUCCGCUCGCCCGACCGCUACACCUGCCGCCUGCCCAGCCCCUGUCGCUCAGGCCGCCCCGUCAUCUCCAUUUUUUGGCCUCCUGAUCGCUGGCCUCUCUGUCCGGUGUCUUCAUGGCCGCCCCGACGCCGCCUCUGGGUCGCUUUGACGUCGUCCCACCACCGGCAUCCUAUGGUGCCUCCCACCCGACGGCGCCCUACAACCCUGCUCCUGCCCCGCAGGCGUUUGGGGGUCAUGCCCCGCCCGCGGCUGCACCCUAGUGGGUGUAUCAGCACCCGUCGGCGGGCCACUCGCCCAAGGGUCCUCCACACCCGAUGCCGCUGGGGGGUGGUUCCUACGGUGUUGCUCCUGCCACCCCAUGGCCGAGUACGCCCUACGUACCCCCGACUACGUCGGCCUCUGCCUACCUGCAUGUCUCAGGUGCCGCGCCUCCUUACGGUCCGACCGCCUUGUACGCGAGGCCAUAUGGAGGUCCAUCGACCGACCUGGUUGCGUCACCUUCGUGCGGCUAUGCCCCGCUACCACCAUCGGAUCAGGGUGUCCCUGCUUCGCUGUUCUACUUCGCGCACCUCAUCCCGGUGAAGUUGACAACGGAGAACUACCUGUCGUGGGGUGCUCAGGUCUUGCCACUUCUCCGUAGUCUCUACUUGGAGGGGUUUGUUGAUGGCACUCUGUCGUGUGCCCCGCCUUAUCACCCGGGGCAUCAUGCGUGGGUGGCUCAAGAUCGAGCCAUCCUUUCAGCUAUCCAGUCCUCUCUUAUGGAGGGGGUCUCGUCACUUUCAGGCGGCCCUUCGGGUUCCUCAUUGGCGCAAGGCCAUCGAGCAGGAGUUUCAGGCACUACAGAGGAACGAUACUUGGCGCUUGGUUCCUCCUGUGUCGGGUGUCAACAUAAUUGAUUUCAAGUGGGUCUUAAAGGUAAAAAAGCAUGUCGGUGGUUCCAUUGAGCGCUUCAAGGCACGGUUGUUGGCCAAAGAUUGUACACAACGGUAUGGUCUUGAUUAUGAGGAUACUUUCAGCCCAGUUGUUAAACCUACCACUAUGUGUCUGCUUCUCUCCUUGGCUGUUGCCAAAGGGUAGUCUAUGCGCCAGCUUGAUGUUCAGAAUGCUUAUCUCCAUGGGGUCUUGGAGGAAGAAGUUUACAUGCGGCAACCUCCCGGUUUUGUUGAUCCAGCUCGUCCACAUCAUUUAAGUCGUCUUGUUAAGGAGCUUUAUGGACUCAAGGAGGCUCCUCGUGCAUGGCAUGCCCGGCUGGGCUCGGUUCUUCGACAGCUUGUGUUUACUCCGCCCACUGCUGACACGUCAUUGUUCCUGUUUCAUCGUCUUGAGGUGACUAUAUGUACCUGCUGGUUUAUGUUGAUGACAUUAUUCUUAUAAGCUCGUCCGUCUGCUACUAAUCGUCUGCUAUCUGCUCUCAGUGGUCACUUUGCUGUCCAGGAUCUGGGGGCUCUCUAUUACUUUCUUGGCUUGGAGGUUUCACAGUCUUCUGCUGGCCCGACUCUCACUCAGCCGAAGUACUCUUUUGACCUGCUACGCCGUGGAGGUAUGUUGCGCUGCAAGCAUGCUACCACCCCUAUGUCUGCGACAGGUCGGUUAUCAGCCUUGGAUGGUGACUUACUCCGUCCAGAUGAUGCUACUGAGUAUCACAGUGUUGUUGGAGCUUUGCAGUACUUGACUAUUACACGGCCUAACAUUUCCUAUGCGGUUAACCUUGUGUGACAGUUUCUUCAUGCUCCUCGAACUUCACACUGGUCAGCUGUGAAGCGUGUCUUGCGUUAUCUCUCACACUGUCUCAUAUGGCUUGCAUCUUCGGUCUACCUCUUCGUCUGCCCUCUCGGCCUUCUCCGAUGCUGAUUGGGCUGGGAGCCGUGAUGACCGACGAUCAACGGGGGGCUAUGCUGUCUUUUAUGGGGAUAACUUGAUCGUUUAGAGUGCACGCAAGCAGGCCACAAUAUCUUGGAGUAGCAUUGAAGCAGAGUACAAGGCGGUUGCCAAUGCCACGACUGAGCUCAUUUGGGUAAAGUCUUUGUUGAGAGAGUUAGGUAUCUCUCAACAACAACCACCCGUUCUUUGGUGUGAUAAUAUUGGUGCGACAUAUCUUUCAUCUGAUCCAGUUUUUUAUGUUCGUACCAAGCACAUCGAAGUUGACUAUCACUUUGUAAGGGAACGCAUUGCACGGAAGCUUCUUUAUAUCAAGUUCAUCUCUUCAAAGGAUCAAUUUGCUGACAUCUUCACAAAGCAACUUUCACAACCUCAGUUUGAGGGAUGCAGGUGCAAUCUUAACUUGCUUUGUACUUCAGGACAUAGUUAAGAUUGAGGAAGGAUCUUAGACUAUGUAUUUGUAUAACUUUCGUAUAUAGCGCUAUACUCUAUAUACCCCUUAUAUAUAUGAGUUAGCCACAUCCGUAUUGGGUGUCGGGCAGUUUCCACCAAACAUUGUUUUACAACUGCGUCCUCAUGAGCAGUGUUUGUGUGUGCAUGGAGAGAGAGAAGUCUGUGUGGAGGGGAGCAUGUGGAUGGGCAAGAAAUGCAGGAGAGAGGAGAGAGAGACGCUGGCAGAGCGCCUGCAUGCCGGCGAAAUUAGCCCCCCCCCCCCCCCCCCCCCCCCCCCCCCCCCCCCCCGCCCCCCCCCCCCCGCUCCUCUCNNNNNNNNCCCCCCCCUCCCCAUGUGCCCAGCUUCCUGGAUUUGCCUUUGGGGCCGCUAACGCAUUUUUGAUCAAAUACAGCGAAAAUUGAGAAGGUGGAGGCGCGACUCGACGAUUUUAUCAACGUCGAGGGUUAAAAAGUGUUUUGAGGAGGACUGUUAAGGGUGCGGCUGGAGAUGCUCUAAACAAGUAGUUCCUGACACAUUAUUACAAAGCAAGCUAAAAAGCUCAAUCCCACACACGGGAGUCUGAAACAAAACAAACAACUAGCAAUAACUGCACAAAACUAUCACUUAGCAACAGAUUCAAAGUUAGUAACUAAAAUAUCAAAUAGGCUCUCUACCUCUUUCAAGAUUAACCUAACUACUAUACACUCGUAAAACAAGUGAUACACUGACUCUAUCUCAGUACAAUGAACACAUUCAAGCUGCUUAGCCAGUUCUCUUUUCCUCUGAUUGUCAUAGACACUCACAGGUCAUUAUUUUGUUCUGAGAAAAUAACCAGAGAAAUCCCUCAACCCUGGGUGGUACAUUGAUCUUCCACACAACAGGCAAGAAGAUAGGUUGGACCCCACUAAAUUCACUAUUGCAUACAAAGAUUUACUGGAAUAAACACCUUUAGACUCAUAUUGCCAGAUCAAAGAGUCAUCCUCAUGACAGAACUUAGUGAGUUUGAUGAUAUUAACCAAAUCAAACCACUGAAUCAUUAGUUCAUUACAAAAAAUUAUCCUAAAUGUACAUUUAAGUUCUUGUCCGUCCCGAAGCUUUGAAAUAGUUAUAUUUUUCUCAUUGAUCAAAUAGUAUAUGUCCCAAAAUUGGAUGGCGAGAGGUGCAUUAGAGCAUCUCUAGCACACCCCAUAUUUUUCCGACCCGCAUAAGUCGUUUACAGUUCGACGAAGCGGGAUUUUGCGGGGCGAAAUAGUGCGCUGUAGAAUAGACCCCGUAUAUGAAACUGUAUAAUUUGAAAAAAACUUUCACGGAAGAAAUUACAACCACACUGAUCUUUUAUAGUUCAUCACAUACUACAUGAUCAUACAUGCUACAUUCUACUACUACUACUAUAGGGGGUUGGGGAUCUCGCCGGAGCUAACUAUCCUACCGCACUAAGAAAAAUAGAGCUUACCAGAGCUCGUGUUGUAGUUGUCCAGCAACAGCGCGGGCAAAAGGUUGUCCGCCUCCAUCGGGGGAAGGAAGUCCUCCGGCCCGACGACGCCCCCGGCACGUCGCUCCGGCCCCGUCCAUCUUCACCAAGGGGAGCUCCUCUAGCUCCCUCUUCACCGGGGUGAGGGAGGAGUGCGAGCUCGACGCCUUGAAGGAGUUGCUGCUGCCGGAGAAGAGGCGGCCUCGCACACGGUCGUACUCCUCUGUCUCGCGGCGGAGGAGCGACGGUGGUGGCGACCGGCCCCAGCGCGUGUAUCGUAGGGCGGUGCGCUUCCGCGCCGCGUCGUAUUUGACGCAACGCACCCUCUCGGGGUCAUCGUUGCCAUGGCGACUGAAUUUGGUCAUCUCGAGCGAUGGAUUGAAGGGGCGAGGCGACAGAUUGGAGGUGCGGGCGGCGGAUCUAAGGCGUCGACGGUGAGGGGUGGGGAGUUUUCGCGGUGGCGGUGGGAUAGGGUUCGGACCCGUAUCCAGCAGUCGAACCCGCACAUAUAGCGGUCGGGGGUCUCGUUUCCGAGCCACUGUAAAAAAUGAUCCAAACACAUAUAAUCGCCCAAAUUUUAAAGUUUCGGCAAUUAUACAGCUCUACUAGAGAUGCUUUUACCAUACCAAAUGUCUCCACAAAACCGAAUAAGUCUACCAUUGCCCACUGCGCAUUUUCUACCGCACUCUCACUGUCUGGCAGUGCCCACAUGAAUGUCUUCCAGAAUUGAGAAGAGUUAUUAUCAUGACAACAUAGGAUAUUAGGCCACUUUCAAUGCAUUGGGUGCUAAGAUGAGGUACUAAACACAUUAAAUUAUUUAGUAACUAUAGUCUUCAAUGCAUAGUUGCUUAGCUUAUUGUAGCUAAGCUUCCUUAUUUAAUGCUUUCGCAACUAAAGUUGUGUAUGCAUUGGUGCAUUUCUUUCAUUUAAUUCUUUGACCUAGGUUCACGCACUUAGCAUUGUUUCUUCCUGGGUCACCACACUUAUCUCUCUCCUAUUAGUUAGCUUGGCACAUUAAAAAAAUUAUCUACGUGACAGCCUUAGCACCUGUAUAAGAUGAAGCAUUGGGAGUAGCCUUAGGGCUUUUGCUAUUAUACUUACUAUCUAUCAGCGUCCUCGAGAAAGAACCUUCCCCAGCUAUGUAUCUUUUCACUCUAGAACAUAUCAAACAAAUGUCCUAAAAUUUACAACCCCCAUACCUCCAAACUCCUUCUUCAUACAUAUAAAAGGUGAGUUAACUAAGUGUUUAUUAUUUUGUCCUUCGCUAUCACUUCAUUGACACAAGAGCCCACUUGGGAAAUUUAACAAAGGACAGAAAAUAUUUUUUCAGAUAGGGGCUCUCUAUUACUUAAAAGAUUUAAGCACUAUACCCCACCCAUGUAUAGCCAAGAUGCACACAACCAAACAAUGUCUUCUCAUACAAACGAGAAUAAAAGGCGAAAUACAAAGAAACAUGCAUAGUCCGUAUAAUGCAUAAAGCGAAAGGGGGGUGGAUCAUGCUGCCACCCAUUUUUGGAUAAAACUACCCCUCGUCAUAGCCUGUAAUCAUGUACACACCUUCGUAAAUAGCUGUCGAUUCUCCAGACGGUGUAGAGAGAACAAUAAACAAAGAACCCUGAUACAUCUCUAGAUAACCUCCAUGAAAAAAGUAAUUUUAUUGUUAAAAAAUUUAUCGUUUCUACAUAGUCAAACCGACCAAGUAAUAGCCAUAGCAACCAAGUAACUUUGACCCUAAGAAGUGUUUUAAACCUAUGAUCAGUCGAAUGUAGCCAGUUGCAAAUACAUUAGUAACACUACAUGAAGGAUACAACUUAGAUGACUGACCAUAUAAAAUGAGCCAAAUUGCAUUGAAAGAAUAAAUGUUCUGUUGUGUCACUAUGGUGACAAAAGAUAAAUUGCAGACUAUCUUGACAAUUCCUCUUAAUAAGGUAAUCUUUAGUAAGAAUGACUCCGCGACAAAGAUACCAUGCAAAGAUAUUAUUCUUAAGUGUUAUCUUCAUCUUUUAGAUCUUCUUGUCAUUAUCAACUAUCACAUAGGUUUAGCAGAAAUUUGAUGUUCUGUUCAGUCAUGAUCUCACUAACUCCACUUGUUUAUGUUUACCAUUGGGAAGGGAACGUUGGAAGGCGGUCAUGUGGUUGCUGUGAAAAGGCUGAGCGAGGACUCAGACCAGGGAGCAGAGGAGUUCAAGAACGAGGCAAUUCUGAUUGCCAAGCUGCAGCACCGGAACCUAGUCCGCCUUCUUGGCUGCUGCACCGAGGGGGCCGAGAAGCUGCUCCUACGAGUACCUUCCCAACAAGGGCCUCAAUGCCAUCCUCUUCGGUACAUAUAAUGUUUAAGUCAUCACAACCGAAAUUACUGCAUUGUUUUAGCUUAAGUUUCAUAUGACAUGUUUGCUGCAGACAGUGUGAAGAAAGCGGUGCUGGACUGGCCGACGCGGCUGGGCAUCAUCAAGGGGGUGGCAAGGGGGCUGCUCUACCUGCACCAGGACUCGAGGCUGACGGUGAUACACAGGGAUCUCAAGGCAAGCAACGUGCUGCUGGACGCCGAGAUGCGGCCCAAGAUCGCCGACUUUGGCAUGGCCAAGAUCUUCGGUGACAACCAGGUGAAAGCCAGCACCCGGAAUGUCGUCGGAACAUAGUGAGUUAUCUUAACACCUGUAAAGAAAAAGAAAUUCUUCUUGUUUCGAAUUUAUUUGUUCAAGUCCUUUUUUUUUUUUUGGUUUUAAGUUGGUACGCCAUUUAAGAAAAUGGUGGAACCUCUUAUGACGAGAAAGUAAUGUGUGGACAGUGGCUACAUUGCUCCUGAGUACUCGACGGGGGGCGUCUUCUCCGUCAAAUCCGACGUGUACAGCUUCGGCGUACUGCUGCUUGAGAUCGUGAGCGGCACCAGGAUAAGCGCAAUCGACGGCAUUAUGGAGUGUCCUAGCCUGACAGUCUAUGUAAGCACCUGAACAAAAACUGAUAGUGUCAAACCAAAUAUAUACUUGCAGUUAGUUUCCUUUUGCAGUACACCCCAUAUCAUGAUCAAAUCCAUAUUCAUCUUUUUAAAAGGCAUACACAGAUGGUUGAUUUGAUUGCUUCAUGUAGGCAUGGAGCCUGUGGAGGGAAGGGAGGAUAGGUAAGCUGGUGGAUCCAUCCAUGGCAGAGAGCUGUUCAGAGGAUGAGGCCAUGCUCUGCAUCCACGUCGGGCUCCUGUGCGUGGAGGACGACCCGAGCAGGAGGCCGCUCAUGUCGUCUGUCGUGUCCAUCUUGGAAAAUGGAAGCGCGCCAGUGGUGGCAUCGGCGUCUCUUCCAGCGCCGAACCAGCCAGGGUACUUUAAAAUGAUAGGAGAGAAGAGCCAGAGAAGCGAUCUCGAGAACACCAGGAACGCCAUGACCAUGACAGCUCUUCAUGGACGGUAGUAUAGCAGUUACUGCAGCUUUCAUCAGAAGGGAAGUUGCGCUAGUCCUAGUGUUCCGUUUCUUUCUUUUUUUUACCGGGGAAGACCCCUGGUUCAUAGAGCAUUUGUCACUGAUGGAAAUGAAAGGUUUAUUUAUAGGAGUGUCGAGUUUAUCAGCCUUGAAAUGAACUCUGUUGCUGAAUUGAAAUCUUUACCAUGUUAGACUGAAAAUUAUUCAAGCAGGUCGCCUCAAAUCUAUAGCUGACGACCAAAAGUGCGUUUUACAGAGGUAAGCACUAGCUGGCAUAUCCCCUGAAACCAAACUCUACUAAAAAAAGUUAGUUACAUUCCUAAUAACCAACCCCGGAUGACUAUAUUUGCUCCAGUCGCGGCCUUUGGACUAAAGAUAAGAGCAUCUCCAGCGUUCGGCCCCCUAAGGCCGUGAAAUAGCGCCGCCUGAGGACGCGGCGGCGGAAAAAACAGCGUGGGAGGGGGGGGGGGGGGCUCGGGUUCCCAGCCAUCGAUUUUGGUCCAUUUUCGGCGUAAAUUGACCCAUUUUCGGUGCAAAUUGGCCCACUUUCGGUGGUCUAUAAAACUUAGCUCGAUUACAUGAUCUAUCUCAUCUAAUCCCACCAUCAUUCAGCAAAUCUACAAAGGAAUUACUCACUCCCAGUGAUGAGCAUCAUAGCGGUGUUGAUGAAGAAGGGUUGGUGAUGACGACGGCGACGAAUCCACCUCUCCGAACCGCUAAACGGACUCCAGAUUAGCCCUCCGGGGAAAGAACAAGAGGUGGCGGCGGUUCCGUCUCGUGAAACGCGAUGAAAACUUCUUUCUAAUUUUUUUCUCCGAAGAUGUGAUUUUAUAGGACUGGAAUUAGGGUCGGAGGAGACACAUGGGCCCCACAAGGUUUCUGGGUGCGACCUGGGGGUGGCGUGGAGGGGGGGGGACGCCCUGUUGUCUUGUGCCCCCUGGCACACCUCCUCCGGUAGGUCUUUGCUCCAUAAUUCCUUAUAAAUACCAGAAAUAAUUCAUAAAAAAUUUCGUCCGAUUCCGAGAACUUCUAUUUCUACACAAAAAUAACAUCAAGGUAGUUCUGCUGAAAACAACGUUAGUCCGGGUUAGUUUCAUUUAAAUCAUGUAAAUUAGAGGUCAAAACUAGAGCAAAAGUGUUUGUAAAAGUAGAUACGUUGAAGAUGUAUCAUCGGUCAACCGCAGACUCAUCCGGCAGAGGCAGGCGAAGGCCGACACCCGCUUCGACGAGCUCGGCGCGGAUAUAGCGGCGAAGGAGGCCGCAUCGGAGCAGUCCGAGGGGGGGGGGAGCUGUGGCUACACCCCAUGUAUCCGCCAAUGGACACGUAGAUCGUUGAAAUCUUCGAUGAGGAGUGGUAGUUAGUUUUCUACGUAGUAGUACGUAGGUUUCUUUGGUUGGCGAGAUGUCUGGGCGCGUCCGGUCACUCCCUGCGGUUUAUUUGAGACGUGCCCGAUCACUCCGUGUGGACGCACCCAAACGCGGACGCAGGUGUUUGAGGGAUCAUUUUUUGCUAUCCUUGGUUGUAGAUGCUCUUAUGUUGCAGAUAUACACGGAAGUGAUACAACCGGACCAGGGUGUGGUACGAUGGUGCUGGCAUUGGACGCCGACAUUGUUUGUGGACGUCGUGGCCGAAGUGGCCAGCCUACGAGGCUCUUUUUUUACCAAGUGUUACUUAGUACUCCCUGUGUCCCGAAAUUUUUGUCUUAGAUUUGUCUAGAAAUAGAUGUAUCUGAAUACUAAAACGCGGCUAGAUACAUUCAUAUUUAGACAAAUGUAAGAUAAGAAUUUUAAGACGGAGGAGUACUUAGUACUUAGUUUACAAGGAAUUAAGCCAAUUACCGGUGUUUUUUACAUUCGGCCUACUCCCUUUGUUUUUCUUAAUCUGCAUAUAAAAUUUAAUUAAAGUCAAACAAUAAAAAGUUUAACCAAAUUUAUAUCAAAAGAUAUCAACAUCUGCAAUACUAAAACUAUAUGGUACGAAACUUAAUAUCAUGAUGCACCUAGUAAUCUUCAUUUCAUAUUAUGAAUGUUAAUAUCUUUUUCCUACUAGUAUAAAGUUGGUCAAAGUUUAUGAAGUUUAAUAUUAUCUUCGUCCGAAAAUAUUUGUCUUAGAAAUGAGUAAAUGGAUGUUUGUAUAAUCAAAAUAAAUCUAGAUACAUUUAUCUUUAAAAUAAUUAUUUCCGGACGAAAAGAGUAUUAAUCAAAUCUUAUAUACAUACUUAAAAAAAACGGAGAGAGUACGUGUCAAGCCACACGAAGACUUAUGAUUAUCUGACUCAAGGUAGCUGCAUGCGCCAUGAGCCAACCCCCUCCAAUCCCCCUUCUUGCUCGUCUCCCUCUUGUCUUGCUCCAGGGCGCGCUAGUAGAGUGCACUGUAGCGGCACGCCACCCCAGCUUGUGGUGGAGAGAGGUCUGUGCGUUACUUCCGUAAUAAUUUCCCGUAGACGACCCCUCUGGCUCAACUGUCGUUGUAGAACUAAGACGGCGCGUACGUAUGACGCGCACACACCGGAGACCGGACCAGUUCACCAUGGGUGCAAUGCAUGCCGAAGAGCACUAGUCAGUCGUAUGACUUCACAAAGUCGCGCCAUCGUGUGGUGUGGCUACGUCGCCUUGCAUUGCAGCCAAGAGCAACAAGGUUCAUGCACUGCCCUCACGAAGUGCCUGCACGCACCUUGAAUUUGCUCAAUGGACCUGCCGCCACGUUCCGCUGCCGUCCUCGUCCUCGCCGUCGUCGCCGCCUGCCUCCCGUGCAUGUCGGCCGAGGACCAGCUGGCCGUCGGGGACAAGCUCCUCGCCCGGGAUACCAUCGUGUCCGACAGCGGCGACUUCGCCCUCGGCUUCUUCUCCCCGGACGACUCACCCGCCGCUCCCGCGAGACGGUGGUACCUCGGCAUAUGGUACCACAGCAUCCCCGGGCCUCAAACCGUCGUCUGGGUGGCCAACCGGGACGCCCCAGCCGCCGGAGAGCCUACGCUCGCGCUGGCCAACGACUCCAGCCUCGUCCUGUCCGACGCCGACGGCAGCGUGCUCUGGACCACGCCCGGCGUGGGCACAUCGUCCUCGCAGCCGGCGCCAGCCGAGCUCGGGAACGACGGCAACCUGCUCAUCCUGCUGCCGAACGGCACGGUGGUGUGGCAGAGCUUCGACCACCCGACGGACACGUUCAUGCCGGGGAUGAAGGCCCGGCUGAGCCGCCGGACGGAGAGGCGUGACUGGAUCGUGUCCUGGACAUCCCCCCGCGACCCGGCGCCGGGCCCCUUCUCCUGCGGCCUGGACCCCGUCACGUCGCUGCAGCUGCUCAUGUGGAACCGCACGCGGCUCUAUUCGCGCACCCCCGUCUGGACGGGGUACGCCGCGUCCGGGACCAUCGUCAGCGCCGGCAUGGUCAUCAACACGGCGAUAGUGGUCGUGGGCACCGAGGAGGAGAUCUCCAUCACCUUCACAGUGUCCGGCAGCCCGACGCCCACGCGGUACGUGGUGACCAGCUCCGGCACGUUCCAGCUCCUCAGAUGGAACGGCACCGCGUCGGCCUGGGACACGCUCCAGUCGUGGCCGUCCAGCGGGUGCACCACCUAUGGCCGCUGCGGCGCGUACGGGUACUGCGACGCCACGGCGGCCCCGCCGUCGUGCAAGUGCCUCGAUGGGUUCGAGCCGGCGAUACCGGCGGACUGGAGCGCCGGCAGGUUCGAGCAGGGCUGCCGGAGAACGCAGGCGCUCCCGCCGUGCGGCGGCGGCGGGCAUGGUUUCCUGGAGAUGCGGAGCAUGAAGGUGCCGGACAACUUCUCGCUCGACGCCGGCAACCGGAGCCCGGAGGAGUGCGCGGCGAGGUGCGCCGGCAGCUGCUCGUGCGUGGCCUACGCGUACGUCGACCUGCACAGCAGCAGCGCGCGGCAGCUGCGGUGCCUGGUGUGGGCAGGGGAACUCGUCGACGCACAGAUGAUCGGCGCGCCCGGCCAGACGCUCUACCUCCGCGUGCCCGUUGCUGCAACGUCCACAGGUACGGCUGAAAGAAAAAGAACAUAUGCUUUGUUGUCCGAAACUUUGUCAAAGUUAUGAUGAAUGUUUACUGAAUUGAAAACAAAAAAGUGGGACAUGGAUAUCCAGUGAACGUUCAAUUUUCAAUGCUCGGCAAAUCAAACGUUUUUCAUCGCAAGUUGUGUUUCUUGAGGGUUAAAAGUUUAAUUUACGAGCAUGAAAAGUCCGUCUCAGUUUAUUUUUAUUAGAAAAUUAUUACAAUUGCAAGCUAUUUUUUUACAAGAAAGCCUUCGGGAUAUAGCUUUAUUCAACUUCAGAUAGUACUUACAUAAUCUGUUAAAAACUUCAAAAUGAAAUCAGGGGUGCGAGGCAGGAGGAUUAACACGUCUCUACUUAGGCCCUGUUUGAAACCAUAAUAGAUUAUGAUAAUCUAGAUUAUGAAAAUAAAUUAUAUAAUCUGGUUUAUAAAAAAAAUCUAGGUGGACAUGUUUGCAGACCAGAUUAUAUAAACUGUAAUCUAGGUUUUACAUUGCAUAAUAAUGACCCGUCUACCCUCUGUUUUUUAAAAAGAGGUGGAUGGCGGUGGUAGGAAUGUAAUUAUGUUUAACUUUGCAAGGAUAAUGGGUCAUUAGCAAUUCAUAAUCCGAUUUUACCUGGUGUAGAGUAGAUUAUAAGUUUUUAAUAAUCUAUCCAUCUAGUUUUUAUAAUCUACACCAUAAUUUGUCCUGUUUGGAGACAUAAUAGAUUAUAAAAACUAGAUUGUAUAAUCUGGAUGGUUCCAAACAAGGCCUUAGCUACCUCGUGAGCAACUAUGUUUAACUCCCUAACGGUGGUGGAGCUACAACCACAUCUUUGGGCGAGCUAAAACGGAUCAACUUAAAAAAUAAUACAUUAAUACAGUAUACAUCUGAAGUUUUGCUCUUAGGCCUCUCUCAAUGCUUCAUUUCGUAUAGGUGCUAAGGCUAUCAUAUAGACGAAAAAUCUAAUGUAGUAAAAGUAAUUUAGAGGAGAGAGAUGAAUGUGGUGACCUGGGAAAAAACAACGUCAAGCACGUAAACCUAGGCAAAACACUUAAAUAAAAGAAAUCCACCAACACAUGAACAACUUUAGUUAAUAAAUCAUUAAAUAAGGAGGCUUAGCUACAACAAUCUAAGCACCUAUGCAUUGAAGGCUUUAGUUGCUAAACUAUUUAAUGUGCUUAGCACCUAAUCUUAACAUCAAUGCAUUGAAAGUGGCCUUAGAGCAAGUACAAUAGUCCUAUUCAGUAGGCUACAAGGGAUUCCACCUCACCAAAAAUCUGAGCUGGAGGAGGGUAAAGACAGGAGAGAGAAGGGAACGGGCGUUGUCGUGGGUAUAAGCCUGACAGUAGAUGUGUAGGAUACGAAAAGGAUGGGCAGAGUCCUAGCUACGGCGAGGAUGUAUGAGUUCAGGCCCCUCUGCGAUGGAGGUAAUAGCCCUACGUCUCAGUUCUCAGGGAGCUUUGUUGUCGAGUGGAAUCAGGAAUACAAUGAGUUGCUAACCUCUUUACCAGUGGGGGAGGGUGGCUUAUAUAGAGUGCGCUGCCCUCCACAACGGUUCCGAUACAGGGGUGGAGUAGUGGCGAUUGAAUGUGUACGUUACAGGUAACCUACGCCCUAAAUGCCAAUAAAUGCACCUGGAAACGUACGACCGUUUCCCUCCAGGGGGUUACGAUGUACCGAGUGGUAUACAGUCGGUUAGCCUGAUAUGCUCCGAAUGCUAGUCUCCGACUGGACGAUCGAGAGUAAAUUACCGACUGGAUGACAGGGAUUCCUUAAUUCAGUCGGAGCUGACUAGGGGUCUAGUCCUUUGCGAGGGGUGGUCCUUGGAUAAGACCUACAGGGCAGGCCUAUGACCCUACCCUAGUACUAUAACCCCAUCAGGCGCUUCACUAGUCGCCCGGCUGCAGCACAAGACCCGAGAAAGUUUAGCCCACUUGGAGCUCGAAGCCGGCGACAGGGCCACUGCUCCCAAUCCCCUGCGUCUCACCAUCCAAUCAACUGCUUUUUUCCUUUCUUACCAUGCAUGCGAACAUUGAUUGCCCUGGCCUCAACAGCUCAUAUAAAGCCAACCUUAUUACACCAGACUUCUUCUACGAAGGCUAUUGUUGACAUGGCACCGAUAUACAGCCGGUAGCCGGCGUUUCUAUUAACCAUGCUCUUAGGGUCCAAAUUCAGCACCAGUCUUCAUUAAAUUUUCAUUAAGCUGGGUGGGCCAUGUCUGGUUUUGCCCAGCCAUAGCUCCGCCAUUGCUCCCUAAUUAAUACAAUGCUCGUAGUAACCUUACCAUGAUCACGAAAACAAUUUCGAAAAUCCUGACAACGCUGCCGUCAUCAUAGAAUGCUCGUCAUUUGAAUUUAAAGCUUGUACCACAAUGGGGUUACUUAAACUCACCAUUAGAUUGUUACAUCCACUGAUGUGUGCAAGUUUGAAACCUUCUAGAAACGUCGCGGCCUCGGUUGAGACUACACCCGCUACAUGUUCAAGUUUUGCGGUAGAAGCUGAGAUUCCGAAUGAUAUAUAGCUCUACAUGAACCAGAAUAAUUUUUCGUGCUUGCAUACUAAUUUUACAUCAUCAAAGAAUUAGCCAUGGACGGGGUGCGUGGAAGCUUGCUAUUCAUGUGCCAGAACCAUGAGUUGGUCGCGAGAUCUUAUGGGUUUCACCUCUAGCCUAUUUCAACGUGUUUGGGACUAAAGACUUUGUCGUCGUCGUUGUUGUUGUUGCUGCAUACUAACUUUGCAUCCCGGCGCCAAUAUAAAUUGUCAUAAAAAUUGUUUAAUUUGCCAUGUUUAAAAUUUGACGUAAGAUUCUUAGUCUUAUCGCCCUUUCAUGUGCAGGUGGAAAUGCAGUGAAAAUAGCAGUGCCGGUGGCAGCAUGUGUGCUGGUGCUCACAUGCAUUUUCUUUGCAUGGUUCUGGAGAUUCAGAGGUAUAGUUAUACUUUUAGCUCUAAACAUGUCAUACUAAAUCAUUCUUAGACAAAAUGCUCACAGCAUCAAUUUUACAGGCAAUUUUACAGACAAGAGGAGGAAAACCGAGAGCCAGAAGAAGCUAAUGACUGGCAGCGCGAACACCCCGAGCGAAGUCGGCGAAGGAGAUCACACUGGUGACCUUGAGUUCCCCUCCUUACGGUUCGCCGACAUCGUCGCUGCCACGGGCAAUUUCUCCAAGACAUUCAUGAUCGGGCGCGGAGGCUUCGGCAAUGUUUACAAGGUAUACUAACUUUUACCUCUCUUUCAGUCCUUCGGCAAGGUUUUCAAGGUAUCCUGUUUUGUGAGUUUAACACAAAAUUCACUUUUUUGUUUUACAAUUCGGAAGGGAACAUUAGACGGUGGACAUGUGGUCGCCGUGAAGAGGCUGAGCAAGGAUUCAGAUCAGGGAGCAGAGGAGUUCAAGAACGAGGCGAUCCUCAUCGCCAAGCUGCAGCACCGGAACCUGGUGCGCCUCCUCGGCUGCUGCACCGAGGGGGCGGAGAAGCUGCUCAUCUACGAGUACCUGCCCAACAAGGGCCUCGACGCCAUCCUCUUCGGUACAUACCAUAUGUUCAUUACAACUGAAAGUACAUAAUCUUUUUUACGAGUGAAAUACACCGUUAGUCCAUUGACUCAAAGAGUUCGUACAGUUUAUUAGGUAAGAACAGGCAAAAACUCAGGAAAUCAUCAAUUUACUCAUUAAUUUAACUAGUUUAAGUAAUCAGAUUAAGGACAAAAACGAUUCACCUUGUUUAAAGAAAUUCGAUUCACCCCCGAAAAACCACACACGUGGCUGCCAUAUCAUUGUACAUGUGUUCUAAAUAAGUUUAAUAACUAAAUUAAUCACUUCGUGAGUUUUUGGCCUAAACGGUACAAUUACAAACAAUUUAACUUAGAGCAUCUCCAACAGGCGCCCAAAAAAGCUUCACGCGUUAAAAGUUUAUUUUUUGGGCGCCGAACAGUUCCAACAGAUGCUGUAAUAUACUGCACGCGUUAAAAAGAUUUGGGCACGCGCUGAAAAACGCUAUCGCGCACAGCAUAUUUAGACGCCGGAUUGUGCGCCCUUUAUAAUUUGCACUGCGUGUUUUUUUUGUGCGUGUUUUUGCGCGUCUGCUAAAGCAAUGUUAGUCCUGACGCAUUAAAAGUGAUACAGCGCUAUAACUUUUAUUAGACGCGAAAUUUUUGUGCGGGUGUUGAAGAUGUUCUUAAUGGACGCAAUUCAUCUCUACUGAUUUUCAUUAUAGAAAACCAAUGGCUUAACUACUAAAAGAAGAAAAGAAAGAAGGACCACCAGACCCAAAUCCUUCACAGAGUGGGAGGGGCAGCAUCCCAAACUAAACCUGGGCAUAUCCCGGGCCAGGCUUUAGAAAACCCAAACUGAAAAUCUCAAGCCCGAGCCCGGUCCGAUCCGGUCAAAAAAACCAAUUUUCAGCCACCGAGCACGGCCCAAAUGGAUUAAAAAGAUGAAUUCCGGGUCGCGCCUGGACGGGUCGGGUCUCCGUGUAAAAUGAUGAUUUUCCAAAGCCCGAGCCCAUCCCAAACUAUUGCCCGAGCCUAGUUUCCAAGCUUGAACCCUUCCCAAACAUAAAGCCCGCUCCGGCCCGGCCCGGGUUUUUCGGGUCGGGUCACCGGGCAAUGAUCGGGCUGCCCAUGCCCAAGUUUAUCCCAAAUCAUGCAUAACUUCUUUUCUUCACCACCUCAACUUUGAAUAGCCCCCUCAACAAUCUUAAUGAAGCUCCGUUACUGCCCACCGGGACCAAAUUUUUGUCAUGCUUGGGGAAGGUUUUAAUCCAUCUAGAGAAACAAUCAUUUAAAUACACAGAAUAAAACAAACAUCAAAUGCACAUUUUAGUAAAUUCCACACCAAUUUAGCAUUAGAGUAGUUGAAAAACAUAUGAGCAAUGGUUUCCCCUGGCCAUUGAAGGCGCAUCCUUUCUCUCUUUUCCAUCUUCUUUUUAACAUGUUAUCUUCGGCCGGUAUACUUUUUCUGUUUACUAAGCAAACGUAAACUUGAUUUUACGAACAAUUUUAAUUUUCCACAAAAAAUUUCGUGGAAAUCCACAUCAGUCAACACCCACUUAAUUUGACCCUUCCGUCCAUACAUUUGGAUCUCCUCACAUCUGGCUUCCAAACUUUCCCAAAGAGUUAGGCUCUCUCUCGAGUCCCCGCAGAGUUCUUCAAAAGGAGAUAUCAUCACACCCCUUCUCAAUAGCAUCAGCUACCGAGAUAUCAUGGUUAAAGCUGACCAAGUAUAAUCUUGGAUAGGCUUCUUCUAGGCCUUGUUCGGUUGCCGUGGUUAGAUUCCACGAGUGAUUUCUAACCUCCUAGGGAUUAGGUGAUCUCCUACUUGUCACCCAAUCACCGCUAUUCCUCAUCCACAUGAAUCCUUCUGACCAAAACAUGUUCAGUUACUCCCUUUUCUAAUCCAUCCAUAUGAAUCAUUGCCCCUGUCAACGUCAGGUCAGAAUCGGUAGAGGAGAACGGGAAGAAGAGGAGAGGACAAGAAGGAGACGAGGCUUACCUGAUAGGAGAGCAAGGAGGGGUGGGGAAGUAUGUCGCCAUCAUCGCCUCCGGAUGGCCGCGCCGUCGCCGCCAAAUCGCGGGAGAGAGAGAGAGAGAGCCCGGGGAGACAUGGCUCGAUUUUUUUUCUUCCGACAUACAGAUUCGCCCAUCGGGAGGGAUUGGUUCCACGAGUAGAGAUGCGAGGAUUUUAUCCCAGACAGUUCCACGUGGUUUGAGAGGGAUUGGGCGGGGGUGUAGCCCCGACCGGGUUUAAUCCAACAAGCUCGUAAGCAGGCUGGGGUCGGAUCCCGGCCGGGCCGAAACCACGGGGUUCGGCGGGGAUUGGACACCAAUCCCGGCGGGGGAGGGGCUAACCGAACAAGGCCUUAGGGGUUUAUCAUCCAUCCAUCAAUCUUCCCAAAACCUAGUAUUUUUUUCAUCACCUAAUUUUUUCUUUACAUUGCUGAUAAAAGCAAUAUUUCAAUUCCAAAAUACUGGACCAGAAGUGAGAGUCACCCACUUCAGGUUUUAUACCAGAUAGACAAUUAUCUUUCACAUAUUUGUUAAUGAGGACUUCCCAGUUCCCACCAUAAUCCAUUUUCAGUUUCCAGUCUCCAAAACCACUUGGCUAGUAGGGAUUUGUUCAUUAAUUCUAGAUUUAUACUUGCUGCAGAUAGUGCGAGGAAAUCGGUGCUGGAUUGGUCGACACGGCUGGGGAUCAUCAAGGGCGUGGCAAGGGGGCUGCUCUACCUGCAUCAGGACUCAAGGCUGACGGUGAUACACAGGGACCUCAAGGCCAGCAACGUGCUGCUGGACGCCGAGAUGAGGCCCAAGAUCGCCGACUUCGGCAUGGCCAAGAUCUUCGGCGACAACCAGGUGAAAGCCAACAGCAAGCGCGUCGUCGGCACAUAGUGAGUAAUUUGAACACUUUACUGAAUUUACAGAGAGAAAAGGAAUUUUUUUGUGUUAAGUUGGUACAUAGCAUUUGACGAAAAUAAAGUGUGACAGCUCUUCUAACAAAAAAUGUGUGUGCCGACAGUGGCUACAUUGCUCCCGAGUACUCGACGGAGGGCGUCUUCUCCGUCAAAUCCGACGUGUACAGCUUCGGCGUGCUGCUGCUGGAGAUCGUUAGCGGCGUUAGGAUAAGCACAACCAGUGGCAUCAUGGAGUUUCCUAGCCUGAUAGUCUAUGUAAGCACCUGCAUUUACAAUUUUCUUCAGUACAGUCCUCUUUCUUGUGAUCGAAUCCGUAUUUGUAAUAGCAAGAAAAGGAACAAUUCAUGGUUGGUUUGAUUGUUUCAUGUAGGCAUGGCACCUGUGGAGGGAAGGGAAGGCAGGCAAGCUGGUGGAUCCGUCCAUGGCAGAGAGCUGUCUACAGGACGAGGCAUUGCUCUGCAUCCACGUCGGGCUCCUCUGCGUGGAGGACGACCCGAGCAGGAGGCCGCUCAUGUCGUCCGUCGUGUCCAUCUUGGAGAACGGAAGCGCGUCGGUGGUGCUGGCAUCGGCGUCUCUUCCGGAGCCGAACAAGCCAGGGUACGUCGGAAUGAUGGAAGAGAAGACCCAGAGAAGCGAUCUCGAGAACAGCAGGAACACCAUUGCCAUGACCGUUCUGCAAGGCCGGUAGCACAGUAGGGACUGCAACUUUCUUCUUCAGAAGGAAAGGUGCACUUAGUUCUAGCGUUUCAUUUUCUUUUCUUUUUUACCGUGGGAAAAAACGGAUUUGUAGAGCAUUUUUUACUGGUACAAAUGAAAUAUGUAUUUACAGGAGCGUUGAGUUGAUUUGAUGUGUCUUGAAAUGGAUGGUAUUGGUAUGAAUGUCUUGCUGGAUUUGAAUACUUUAGCUACUUGGAUGGACUUCCAGAAAAAAUUUCAGAGAGCUUCUGUAUUUGACAUUCAGAGGUUGAGAGAAACAAGUAAUUAAGCGGAAGAAGAAAGAUGCCUUGAUUAAUCUGAAAAAUAACCAGAUAUUACACAAACACCAUCUUUUUAGUGUACACACACCAACUCAUCAUCUCGACUCGCCCUCACAUGCAAAAUCUAUCAGUCCGGAAAGACAUGCAGCACAGCAGCAUCCAUCAGCAAUGAAGUUGUCGGCCAAGCGCGCGCGCGCGCGCUAGAGGUUGAGCUGACUGAGCUCACUUGCCGGGAACGAAGUUGGUGGCGAAAGCCCAGGCGUUGUUGUUGACGGGGUCGGCGAGGUGGUCGGCGAGGUUCUCGAGGGGGCCCUUGCCGGUGACGAUGGCCUGGACGAAGAAGCCGAACAUGGAGAACAUGGCGAGGCGGCCGUUCUUGAUCUCCUUCACCUUGAGCUCGGCGAAGGCCUCGGGGUCCUCGGCGAGGCCCAGGGGGUCGAAGCUGCCGCCGGGGUAGAGCGGGUCGACUAUCUCGCCGAGCGGGCCGCCGGCGACGCGGUAGCCCUCGACGGCGCCCAUGAGCACCACCUGGCAGGCCCAGAUGGCGAGGAUGCUCUGGGCGUGGACGAGGCUGGGGUUGCCGAGGUAGUCGAGGCCGCCCUCGCUGAAGAUCUGGGAGCCGGCCUUGAACCACACGGCCUCGCCGAACUUGACGCCGUUGCGGGCGAGCAGCUCGGGGAAGACGCAGCCGAGCGCGCCGAGCAUGGCCCAGCGGCAGUGGAUGACCUCCAGCUCACGGUUCUUGGCGAAGGUCUCGGGGUCAGCGGACAGCCCCGCGGUGUCCCAGCCGUAGUCGCCGGGGAACUCGCCGGUGAGGUAGCUCGGGGGGUCGCCGGAGAGCGGGCCGAGGUAGAGCACGCGGUCGGAGCCGUACCACGGGCUGCUGGACGCCGCCACCUUGGGCUUGCCCGCCGUCUUGCGCAUGGUGAUGCGGCCCUCGCCGAAGGGCGCCGCCCUGGAGGCCUUCACCGGGGUGCCGGCCAUCGCCGGGGAGGAGAGCGCCAUGGUCGCCGCGGCCGCCAUCGCUCGCUGCGUGCUAGCUAGCUAGCCUUGCUUCGAGUGAGCUGAGGCUGGCAGUGACAGUAGGAGGCGCUGGUGGUCGUUGGUGGUGAGGAGUGAAGCGGGAGCGCGCCGGGUUUAAAUAGGAGGAGGGAGCGAUCGGGUCCUUAUCCCGGGGAAUCUUAUGCCGAGUCGCCAUUGGCGCGCGGGGCGCGAGGCGGGCGGAUGGGGCGGCUGAGGUGGCCGCGCGGUGGCCACGGGAGCGGCGGAGGUCGGGAUUUUUUGCGGGGUUGUGGUGGAUUUGGCGCGGUGGAGAUGAGCCGCGAGGGCGACGGUGGGUCGCGGCCGCAGCCCACAUGGCCGCGUGUGGGGCGGCUCGCCGAUGUGGCCGCGCGCUGGCCAGGGGAUCUCCUGCUCACCGCGCCGGGCGGAAGGGGACGGAGGGCGAUGAGUUUGGCCGUUGCGCGCGGUGCAUUCUGAGGCGUGCCGCUGGCCGGAGGACCCCGGGAAAGAGAUAUCUGCCGUUGGCAGGUUGUGCCGGCGACCUACGUGGCCGACAUCUACUGGUUUCACGACUUCACGAGGUGCCCAAUCGGAACGGGUUCAGGACUAGCUCGGAACUGCCGUUUUAUUUUUCGAUUUGCACAUGCAUCAUGUAAAGAUCCUCUGCAAUGGUUGAAGUUUAAAAACUUUUAUCUUUAAAACCGUUAAUUCAAUCGAUGAUCUCUUUUCAUCGUUGACUUUGUCACGACAAGAUCUUCGAAACUAGAUCUCAUGUUGACAUGUUUCGACAAACUUUUUUUUUCUUCCAUAAUUGCUACAUUUUUCCACUCACUUGCUAUAUUAUUAACCACUUACUUGCUCAAUAAAAAUAACUUAAUUGCCAUAUUUUUUUAUGUCGUUUCGUGCAAAGAUUAUCGAUGCUUAUAAAUGCAGUCCCCAAAAUGUUUUGAUGUGUUUGUCAUUUUUAUUCUACUAAGUUGUCAUGUGGUCUCAUAAAAGCUUGUAGGUGCUUAUAAAAUCACAGUUUCUACAUAUAUUUUUUGUGCUUGUCAUUUUAAUCCUACCUCGUUAUCAUAUUGUCCCAAACAACUUGUGAGUCAUUGUAAAAAAAAUAGUUGUUACGGUGUUUGCUGUAUUUAUCUUUUGAAUUCUAUGCUCAAUUGUUAUGUUUUGUGGUAAUAAAAGGACAUUUGAUUGUUUUAAAACGUAGUUGUGCUAGUGUUGUGUUGUGUCGGUCAGUUAAAUUCUAUUAAAAUGAUAUGCUUUUAUAUCAUGUAUAAUAAAAUAUGUUACAAGGCUUUUGUACGAAAUAAUAUUAAAAAGUGACAAUCAAGUUAUUUUUUUAGGCAAGUAAGUGGUUACUAAUAUGGCAAGUGGGUCAAAAAAUAUGGCAAGUAUGAACAGAAAAAAAAAGUUGACGAAACAUAUCGAUAUGGGAUCUAGUUUUGAAGAACUCGUCGCGAGAAAGCCAAUGAUGAAAACGGAUCAUCGAUUGAAUUAACGGUUUUGGAGAUAAAACUUUUUGAAUUUCAAACAUAAAAAAGAAUCGCGGGUUGUCCUCCCGCCGCACGGCAAAGCAGCGCUGCGCAUGCUAUCAAUUAGAUUUUUCCUUUAUUUUUUAUUUCUUACCGGCAAAACGAUCCGUAUGUUGAAACGGAAAAAAAAUCAUAAUCUUUAAUGAACAUGAACAUAUUUUCCUGCAUCAUCAAGAUAAAAAAAUAUCACUCUCAUUUUCAUGAAAUCGUGGAUAGUUUUUAAAAAUACAGAACAUAUUAAACUCAUGAACAUAUUUGCAAUCGGGAAUAUGUUUCAAAUUCACAGACGUUUUUACAGAUUUUUGAACAUUUUCAAAGAUCAUGAACAUGUUAUACUAUUUUCACACAUUUUUUAAAAUAUAGGAAAAAUAUUAAACAUUUUUCCUGAAUUGGCGAACAUUUUUCUAGAACCGAAGAUCACUUUUUUGGAAAUUUGUCGGCCAAUUUCUGAAAUUCACCAACAUUUUUUUGAUUUUAAAAUUAUUUUUUGAGUUCCAUGAUCAUUUUUUGAAUCAGCGAACAUUUUAUGAAUCAUAAACUAUUGUGUAAUUCACGAUCAGUUUUUGAAUUUUCUCGAUAUUUUUCAAUUUAAGAACAUUUUUUGAAUUGUAUUUUUUUCAAUUGAUUAUUUUGUUAACAUAUGAACGUUGAUAACAAAUCAUGAUUUUUUUUUGGAUUUUCCGAACCUUUGCUACCAAAAUUAUGAAAUUUUUAUGAAUAGGUGUUAUUUAAAAUUGCAAAUAUAUUUUUUAAUCCACAGACGUUUAGAAUUAUUAAACAUUCUAUUACUAAAAAUGUAUUUAAAAAAUUCGGAAUUUGUUUGAAGUCCUGAAUUAUUUAAACUAGAAAGAACAAAGACGGAAAAGGAAAACAAAAUUUAGAAAAUAGGACACCCAGAUAUGGAUCAGCCCAAACAAGUGCGACGUGUUUUCUUCCAGCACACAGAGCACAGUGUAAGAGGUUCCUACUUGAUGGGCCAGCCCAAACGGGGAUUCCCUUUGUGAAAUGUUUGUUAUCACUUGUGGCAACGCUAGGUAAUAUUUUACAACUUUAAAGGUAAUUUAUGUGAUGCACCUUAAGAAGCACUAAUGCCUUUAUUAAUAUAGGUAUAUAUAUAUGCAACAGACUGUUUACACGUGCAAUCAAGUUUUGCAAGUCUUGGGCCUAUAUAUAUAUAUAUAUAUAUAUAUAGGCCCAAGACUUGCAAAACUUGAUUGCACGUGUAAACAGUCUGUUGCAGUUACUUUGGUUGUAGCCUAGAGAUGUGAAAUGUUAUUUCAACCAACCAGAAGAGAGUGCUUGAUACUUGUGAUCUGCAUUGAGUUUUUUAUAAAGAGGAAUGGAUGAUGCAUCACAGUAUAAAUGGUAAAUUGUAAUGCGUGCUCAAGUUCCGCAACACACCCAAUACAAUGACAAAUUGCAUAGGCGAACUAGUUCGGCGAAGAGAUGUGAUACAAGUGUAGUAUGGAUAGUAUAAAUAUAUUUUUAUAAUCCGAAUAAGUAAAAAGAGCGAGGCAACAAGUAGUAAACAACGAGAAAAACGGUAUAUUAAUGUUGGAAUUAUGCCCUAGAGGCAAUAAUAAAUAUAGUUAUUAUUAUAAUUCCUGUAUCAAGAUAAUAGUUUAUUAUCCAUGCUAUAAUUGUAUUGAAUGAAGACUCAUUUACAUGUGUGGAUACAUAGACAAAACACCGUCCCUAGCAUGCCUCUAGUUGGCUAGCCAGUUGAUCGAUGAUAGUCAGUGUCUUCUGAUUAUGAACAAGGUGUUGUUGCUUGAUAACUGGAUCACGUCAUUGGGAGAAUCACGUGAUGGACUAGACCCAAACUAAUAGACGUAGCAUGUUGAUCGUGUCAUUUUGUUGCUACUGUUUUCUGCGUGUCAAGUAUUCAUUCCUAUGACCGUGAGAUCAUAUAACUCACUGACACCGGAGGAAUGCUUUGUGUGUACCAAACGUCGCAACGUAACUGGGUGACUAUAAAGAUGCUCUACAGGUANNNNNNNNNNNNNNNNNNNNNNNNNNNNNNNNNNNNNNNNNNNNNNNNNNNNNNNNNNNNNNNNNNNNNNNNNNNNNNNNNNNNNNNNNNNNNNNNNNNNUCCUCGCCUCUAGCUCGCGCACCCCUCGCCGGAGUCGGCACCAGAGAGCUUCACCCAGGAGCUCCUCCAUCGCCCCCCCCUGCACGCUUUCCCCCUGCCGAGCCCACCUCACCCCGCCACCACCUCCCCACCACUCGGCCCCCUCCUCCACCACCCCUCCACCCCGCUGCUGCUCCUCCCCAUCACCACUACCAGGCAGCCAGGAGCUUCCCCGUCGGCUCCCCCACAUGCAGGCUCCCUCCUCCCCCUUCGGCCCUCCCCCCAGGAGUCUCCACCGGCCCCUUCCCCACCCCUCGCCGGCCCCUACCCCACCCCACCGGAGCUCACCCCGUGCACCCCCUUCCCACCUCGGCCACAAUAGCCAGCCACGGGAGCAGCUCCAGCCACGGUAAGGCUCCACUCCCCCUCCUGUUUCUUUUUUGUUUUUAUGUAGUAGCCCUUAGAUCCAUAAUCUACGGUGUAGAUUAGGAAGUACUUACCCCUUCGGUUUUCUAAAAAGAACCGGUCCAUCAGUUAAGUGAACCGAAGCAUUUUCUUAUUUAGCGGCCAUCCGCUGUUUAGUCUAUGCAGCAAACACCCCUUAGCCAAUCAGGGACUGCCACGUAGUUAGUUAGCUUUUAUUCUGUUUUUUUUUCAGAUUUAGUUCAAAAACAGAAAGUUCCAAUCUUGUUUAGCCCAUAACUUUUGAUCCCGAAGUCCAAUGAUAGUGAUUCUUUUUCCAGUAGCUCACAAAGUUCCUGUAGUUUCUAAAAACAUAUAAUUUGUAUAUGUUUGAAAUUUUCGAAUAUAAGUUAGAUCAGAUUUAGUUUAAACAUUGUUUUGCCUAUUCCAGGAGUUUAAAAAUAUCUUUUAAUCUGAUUCCUUUUGGUACUGAUCACUAGUGAUCCUAUUUAUAAGUGGUAAAAAUUUCCAAUUUGUUUGAGUAUAUUAGCUCACUGUUUCUUGUGAAACAAUUUCUGUUUCAUCUCUUUUAGGAUUUCGGCUAAUUCCUUUUCUACUUUUGUUUUAAAAUAUUUUCUUUAUUAUUUCAGAAACAUUAUUGUUUUGUUUAUGUUAGUUAACAGUAGUUUUGGAACAAGUUUUUAUUUUAUUUUUAUUUGUUUUCAUGAAAUCAAUUCUAGUUCCUUAUUAACUUGCAAUUGGUUUCCGCACUGUUUCAAAUCCCGUUUGGGAAUACUUUCAAAAAGUUUUGUGAAAAAUACUUUAUUUUAUCUUAGUUAAACUUAUAUCUUAGUUCCUUGUUAUUAUUUUCUGUUAGACAAAAACUAGUUAGUGUUUGAUGUAGAAGAAGACUCCUAGUUUAGUAAAGUUUCUUUCGGAUUCUUAUUCGCUCUCUCUUUUGUUUUGAUUGCUAGAAUGAUUGCUAGUAUGAGUGCUUAUGUGAAUGAUAUGUUUGUUAUAUAGAUUCCCUCGGAGAGUGACGAGUAGUCUAUCAAGUUAUUUUCUCGAGAAAUUCUUCUUCGUCAACAUCACCAGGCAAGUCACUUUGAUCAUACUAUCACCUAUGUUUUAUGCAUCGUAGUUCUACCAUCCUAUGCCCAAAUUGCAUGCUGCUUAAGUACUUGGAAAUUUUAGUAUAGGUUGUAGUAUCAUGUGGUAGGCACCCAACAACCCCGAUACUUGGCCCCGGGACGACAAAUUUCAUAUUGCUAUGCUUGAGGAGACGGGAUUUCGGUUGAGUGCAUAACACAAGUGAUGCGAGGUUGAUUAAAUAAUCAAGACCGGUUAAGACAAGAUUUUCAAGAUCUUGGACACAAUGCAACUCUGGGUGAAGGACGGUUGAUCGGCUCCCUGGAGAACCCAGUGGAUGACCCGGGAUGCUGGAGAGGCCAUGACAUCCUGCGGAAAGCUUCACCCAGGCUCAAAGAGACGGACGGAUAUUUUCAAGACCCAAGGCUUACCUGCACAGCCACAAGUCAUUAUGGGCUCUGGCUUGGUUGGACAACGCGGCGACUCUGGACAGGCGGUGCUAGCAGAUGUAGAAGAAUGGUAUGAAUGGAUGGGCACCGACAGGGAUUCAGAGGGACCCGUUGAAAGACCAUGUUUUGAUCAUCCGGUCUUCAAACACCCUGAAGUGYGAGGACAUACACGGAGGCGAUCAAAUCUUGUGGGGAACGUGUGCAAAACUCUACAGAGUACUCAAACCUAAUCGAUUAGCCGUGUCCACGGUCAUGGACAACUUGAGCCAAAGGAACUGAAGUUAUCUGGAUUUCUCAACACCAUUAUAUAUAUUUGAUGAGGGUAAUUAUUGACAACUCGGGUACGAGAACUGGUUGGCGGAACCAUCUCGUUAACAACCAACCUUGUAGUAAUAUUUUUCUUUUAGCCCUCUUGAUGUUGGAGAAAACUUGCUUUUCGCUAAAAAACUUAUAGCCCCAGCUGCCAUAAAUGCAUAUAGUAUAGAUGAUUACUUUUCACCCCUCUCUUAUGKGACUUGCCAGCAUAUUCAAUAUGCUGACCUACACGGCURCAACAUCUUAUGUUGCAGAUAUUUUUCUUCGAUGAGUAAGAGUACGAUUCAGGGUUACGGUCAACCCUCAACUUGCCGUUGGUGUUUAUUGGGACUCCACUCCCUUGACUGCUUCCGCUGAGAUAUUUAAGGUAUACAUCAGUUUUACGCUAUUUACAUGUGAUUGCACUUUGAUAUAUACAUUGAUGUACUCUGUGUGCCAGCAUACUGAUCCACGGAUGGCACAGAAACACAGAGGCUUGACUCGUCUUGAGUCGGGUCGCUACUGAAAUGGUAUCAGAGCACAUAUUGACUGUAGGACGUGACCCUAGAAACUAGAAAUUUCUUAGGAAAGGAUCUCUCAAAAAUUUUAUUUUCAACAACACCUUUUACUUCUCAUCUCUUCUGAUUUCAUCGAAUGUUCCCUCUCACCUCAAAUAGUUAGACAAUACCCUUACCCCUUUGACCUCAUGAAUAAUCAACGGAGUUCUACUUCAAAUUAAAGAGGAUUUCCUCAUGCAAUUGAAGCUACACCAAUUGAAGACUCUCAAGACCCGAAGAACUUGAAGACCCCGAAACGUUCGAAUAUUUAUAUGACCAUUAGAAGUCCAAACCCCUGUUAUAUACCCACGUUAGAUACGAUGAUUUGUGAGCCGUCAUUGGUGUGUGUUUUUCGAUAGCCACAAAUAAAACCCAUUCUCAAAAAUAUUGUUUGUAUUGUGUGUAUCUCCCUCCCUCUCUUACCCGUCUCAUCCCCAAAACCUCAACCCUACCAGAUGGAGUAUGAAGCUGGACUUGUAGUCUCUGGACCAAUGACCCAGCUAGAGGCUGAAAUAUGGACUCAGAACAUGGAGAACCACUUCGGGAGCAACUUGAUCUCAAGGAAGUAUGAAGUGGAACACGCUCUCUAGUACUUUACCCAAAGUGCUGCAAUCUGGUGGAAAAUGCACCAUGCCAUACAAGGAUUUAGUGGAGCAGAAACCUGGGACGAAUUCAAGAACACCCUGUUAAGAUCCCGUCUCAUUCGGAAGUGCUAUGAUAAUCCGAAGGAGAAGACUUGUGCAUGCAAGAUCUAUGGAGAAAUAGGACACACCCAGGAAGAACACAAGGAUCGAUGCACUCAUUGUGAAGAAAAUCACCCAGCUGAGGAGUGCCCAAGUAGUCAGGUGACUUGUUUCCUUUGUGAAGGAACCACCCACUACCCAGCUCAGUGUCACAUUUACCCCAAGGUGCAACAGGUUGUCAAGCAGCAGAAAGAUGCAGUGAAGGAACCCCUCAAGAAGAAGAUUCUAGAAGAACCGAUGAUGAACGAAAAUAUUGAAGACCCUGAUGGACAAGGUCUGACCAGAUUUUUCUCCAAUGCAUGUUACUCAUGUGGAGAAGAAGGACAUUAUUCACAGGAUUGCACGAAGGAAAGCCAAGAGUAGCUGGGAAACUUCCCGACGGAAGAAGUGGAGUUUGAUCCACUUGAAAUAGAAGAACUGGCCAAAAUAAAGGAGUCCAGAAAGAAGAAAAAGUACCCUCGGAAGAACCAAAUCUCUGCAGACAUAGACCUGAGUCAUGUCAGAUGUUACAAGUGUAUGAAAUUUGGCCACCACAAAUACAUGUGCUCAGGAAGGAAGCCGGAAAUCCAAGGAGCAAAAGAAAAAGCUAAGAGGCCUCGAGACUUGUCAGAACUCAUUUGCUUUCGUUGCAAGGAAGCAGGACAUUUUGCUAGCGAUUGUCCACAAAGGAAGAAAGCUAAGAAGGAGUAGUUAAGUUUUGACCGCGGCACUUAGUGUAAUAUGAAUAACUCUUGUUUUUCAUGAGAUCAUGGAGUGAAAUUUUGUAAAGAAGUCCCUGAGAUUGUAAUAACAUCAUGAAUAAAUGGAAUUUAUUGUCUCAUGAUUGCCUAUGUUGAAACUGUAUGCGUUGUUUCUCUGCGAACAAAGAUCUCUGAACAUUUAUGAGGAUAUGAGAAAAUAUGGUCUAUGCAUGCAUGAGUAUUAUUCAUUUUAAGUGUGGUAGUAAUCGGUAAACCCACAGGAUCCACUGAGUAGGAAUGUACCAUGAUUACCAAGGAGACACAUACAUUCCUCUGAGUACCUAUUUACUGACACCUACAGAUGACACCUCUCUACGAGUCAUUCCUCAAGGGCCCAGAAACGAUCAUGACCCUGACCAGUGACCAUGAUUACCCGAAAAUCCUGAAGGACAUGAUGAAGCACAUUCACCUUGAAGGAGAUGCAGUCUACAAAGGCUACCCAUUUAUGGAAAAUUGAGUGGAACUUUGGUACGUGGAAGUACACCUCCACCAUGUGAAAGGAGUUUGUCCAAAGACUAUGGGGAAAUACUUUUUCAUUUCACGUGUACCGCGAGCAACCUUCUUUGAUGCUGUUCGUGAAGCUGCCAUGGAAGCCAUACGUCAGAUUGGAGAAAUACUUGAAGCAAGACUCCGUCAUACCCAGGAAUACCUGAGUGAGGUACGUGCGUAGAUGAUGGAGAUGAAGCUCAUGACCACCAUGAUGAAGCGAAAGAUGGAUGAUUUCAAGGAGUACCUCGGAAAGUUCGAGUGGAAGUACCUCCAAGAGAGACAGAUGAAUAAAGUUGGCAGAAAUGCUUGACCAUACCGAACAAUGUGGAUGGCAGCAUUUGUAAUAAAUUACUUUUGAGUUAGAAUUUUGAAGAAAGCAAGGAUGUAAUAAAGGAUAGAUUAUGUAAUGAAUAUGAUUUAUGGAAGAAGCUAUGAUGGAUCAGCAAACGUUUUCUUAGGAGCAUACGAAAGCCAGAGAGUUGUGGAGAUACGAUAGAUGUUUCGUUCAGCUUGCAGAACCAAUGGUUUAUCCGAACUUCGUUCGUGGACAAGAGAAACUCUGCAACGCUUGUGAGGAUGCCCAAGUGUUAGAAUGCGAGAUUCGCUAAACCUUAUACAGAGAAAUGAUUUGGGUGCGGAAUGGAUCGAUCACCAUGACGACUUACUCUUAUCAUUUAUCUUGCUAUUCAGAAUGGUAAAUCUGAGAGACUUACCCAUAUAGAGAGAUGACGUUCUUUGAAGCUUUUGUUUAAGACUUAGAGUGGUAUAAGAAAAGCCCAUGCACAUGGCACUUGUUGACACGCGUAGGAAAUUUUACGAUGAGAAUGAAACCAAGACCCCACUCUCUGCAAGAUAACCACAAAUGGUAUACCACCAUGAGAACCAUCGAUAUGUUAUUUAGAAUUGACCGCGAGACUGUCAGUUAAGAAGACCCAGUAAAGGAAGAAGCUUAUAUCAACGGAAGAACUCUCGAUUUUGAUGGAAAACGUUAUGAAUGUAACGAAAGAGCUUCACCAGAGGAGUUAGUAUGAAGACUGUGAGGAGUCAGAUGCCAAAACCCCACCGGAUUGUCAAAAAUCUUAUGGGACAAGUAAUCUUCAUUUUAAGUGUAGUAGCAUCCCACUUUGCUGGAAGUUGGAUUUGUUAGAAGACCCCCAAACCCUAACGUUUCUUUCUAGCCUCUUCGAAUCUCGAGGACGAGAUUCAUUUUAAGUGUGGUAGGUUUGUAACAUCCCAAAUUUUGGAAUGUUAAAAUAAUUAUUAGAUUGUUUGUUUGUUUGCUUGAGUGAUUGAAACUUGUGUGAAAUUUGAAACUUUUCAAAAACUUUUGAAUGAUAGGGAAUAAAAUGACUUUCCCCAUCUCUGAUGAAUUCAAAUUCAAUCUUUUAAAAGAAAAGAGAGAAGAUGACAUGACUUCUUCAACUAUAAAGAAUUUGAACGGAGUUUGCAUUUGAAUCCUUUCAAAUUAUUUGCCCUUGCUUCUAUAUUUUUCUUCCCCGAGAAAAUGCCCCGACAAAAUUCUUGCACGCAUGAAAGAGCGGAGGAAAAUGACCCUCCAAAAACCAGGGCCAUUGAUUGAAAUAUUUUGAGCCAAGAAAAAACCAAAAUUUAAUUUGAGAAAAUAAUUGCAAAAAUAAAUAAUGCUUUUAGGGAUUUUUUGGAAAAACAUUUUUUUAAGUUUUCAUUUUGGCCGUUGAAAAAUGCCCAUCAUUUAGAUUUUAUUUUUCUGAUAAUUUUAGUAUAUAGAAACCUUAUAUUCCGAAUUGAUUUGAUUUGCCUUUUAUCGUUUUAGUUUCCUAGUUUUGAAAAAGGAAAGAAAUCGUGUUUAAAUGGAAAUAAACGGUCGCCCAUUAAAACCUUUCCAAAAACUGGCCCAACAGGAUCUUCUUCUUCCUCUAUCUCCUUCCUCACGUGCAUAGGACCUUCCUUAGCCAUGGACAGAGAAAUCCUCACUUCCGGAAUUCGCGAAGUUCUUUCCCUCCUAGCCUCUCCCGUCGCCCCUAUAAGAAGGCCCCGGUCCUCCUCGUUCCAUUCCCGUUGGAAUCGCCGCCUCUCCCCACCUCCUCCCCCCCCCCUGUGGACCUCGGCGGAGUCGGCCACAGGAACUCGCCGGCGACCUUCCCCAUCGCCCCUGCACCCCCUCCCCACCCCACCGACUUUCCCCAUCGCCCCUGCACCUCCUCCACCACCCCACCCCGUCGCCCCCCUGCAUCCCUCCCCAUCCCCACCGAGCUCCCUGCCAGGAGUUCCCCGCCAAGACGCUAGGAGCACCGGAGCAGCCCCUGACGCCCCUCGCCCCUGCUCGACCAGGAGCUCCCAG